CGGAGUGUAGCACAGCCUGGUUAGUGUGCUUGGUUUGGGACCAAGAGGUCGGGGGUUCGAAUCCCUCCACUCCGA
rfam:Neorickettsia helminthoeca str. Oregon, complete genome.